GUUGGCUAGCGUCCGUUGCCGACCCAGAACAGGCCAGAUGCAUUCCGUGCAAAAGUAGCCUACAUUCAAGCUCGGCACCAUGGGGAUUAAGGCUGUCGUCAGCCAUAUGCAGAGCCAAAAACAUAAAACCUCUGCCAGGAACCACACACAGACCCCAGCCAUUUCUACGUUUUGCAUCUCUGCCCCGGCGCCACCGCCGCAGACGGUCCGCGCUGCUGGCACUGACCUGAGGGGUAGCAUUUGGUGCGACACCAACACUGAAAGCGGAGGUGUUGUGGAUUCUAAACACAGUGGUCAAGCACCAGUCCUACAACUCGAAUGAGGGGAUAGGAGAUCUCUUCGGUUUGAUGUUCCCUGACUCUCAAAUCGCGAGCACCUUUACUGCUGGAAGGGACAAAACGGCGUAUAUAACUCGCUUCGGACCAGCGCCUUUCAUCCGAAACGAGCGAAUCUGCAGCGUCAACAAGGCUGAUUUUGUUUUGAUAUUUGAGACGUUGAACCACGCCAAUAAAAGCAAGCAACUUGACGUGCACGUUCGAUAUUGGGUCGGAGAUCGAGUGCAUUCCCGGUACUUGGGCUCGCAAUUCAUGGGGCCCCACAUAUAUGGAGGUAAAAGGGAUGAUGAUACAUAAUAUUUUGUAGACAAUAUGCAGAAUCUUUUCACUUACGAAUUAACACGGUUGGCUAUUUUUGCCAGCACGCCACCCUAGCCAUAUUAUGGGCAACCGUGUUCCCCUUGGCUGUGAUUUAAACUUUGAAUUCCUCGUAGGAGUUCAUAAUAAUACAUUGCUCGCCUUGGAUGAAAUACAACGCUCUUGCGCGAUUUAUUUUGCAUAAGGGUGAUUCAAAUGACGUGAGAAACGCCCCUUUUAUGUGAACGCGCAUUGAACCUAAAGCGGAAAACCUGGUUCAACUAAUUGAAUCUAAAGUGAGCGUCGUGGUACCAUUUAACUGUGAUUGCGAGUUGCGGCUCUGUCGAGCCAGGUUUUCCCAAGAAAGCCUGGGUAUGUUCAACGAGGUUCGUGGUAUACCCCCCAGGUCUUACUGAAGGCAUUUAUUUAAUGGUGAAAAUAUUAUUAAUAAGUGGCGUAAAUAUCGACGGUGCAACCUGUGCAGCUGCCCGGUGCAACUACAGCCCAGACGCUGUCACCCUCCUCUCAACAACUUACAACUUGGGUGCACCAUAAAUACAUGCUGGUGCACCCAAAUUAAAAAUUUAGGCGCACCAGUGCACCCAAGGAAAAAGUUAGUCCGGAGCCCUGGAGUAUCACUUUAUGUUCAAUAAACAGACAAAAAGUAAAAUUGAAUGAGUCUCAUCGAGUGACACACAUGCUAUGCUUGGGUUGUAAUACAGCGGGAUCCCCCCGCCAUCGCGGGUUUAAGGUCUUAAAUUUCAUUCAAGGUGGUAUUAAAAAGGUCUUAAAAAGUCUUAAAUUUGACUUGCUGAAACCUGCAGAUACCCUGUAUAAGGU
ensembl:lncRNA